CGGUAAUACAGAGGGUGCAAGCGUUAAUCGGAUUUGCUGGGCGUAAAGCGUGCGUAGGCGGCUAAUUAAGUCAAAUGUGAAAUCCCCGAGCUUAACUUGGGAAUUGCAUUCGAUACUGGUUAGCUAGAGUAUGGGAGAGGAUGGUAGAAUUCCAGGUGUAGCGGUGAAAUGCGUAGAGAUCCGGAGGAAUACCGAUGGCGAAGGCAGCCGUCUGGCCUAAUACUGACGCUGAGGUACGAAAGCAUGGGGAGCAAACAGGAUUAGAUACCCUGGUAGUCCAUGCCGUAAACGAUGUCUACUAGCCGUUGGGGUCUUUGAGACCUUAGUGGCGCAGCUAACGCGAUAAGUAGACCGCCUGGGGAGUACGGUCGCAAGACUAAAACUCAAAUGAAUUGACGGGGGCCCGCACAAGCGGUGGAGCAUGUGGUUUAAUUCGAUGCAACGCGAAGAACCUUACCUGGCCUUGACAUACUAAGAACUUUCCAGAGAUGGAUUGGUGCCU
rnacentral:rRNA from 1 species